AUACAUCAAUAAGUAGAUCAUUUGCUUUGCAAGCGAAUAAUAUCGGUUCAAAUCCGAUU
rnacentral:tRNA from 1 species